CACUGAGCGUAACAGGGGUGUUGCACCCCGCUCACGAGCGGUAGACGGGUGAGUAAUGCUUAGGAAUCUGCCCAGUAGUGGGGGACAACAGUCGGAAACGGCUGCUAAUAGCGGAUACGCCCUACGGGGGAAAGCAGGGGAUCUUCGGACCUUGCGCUAUUGGAUGAGCCUAAGUCGGAUUAGCUAGUUGGUAGGGUAAAGGCCUACCAAGGCGACGAUCCGUAGCUGGUCUGAGAGGAUGAUCAGCCACAUCGGGACUGAGACACGGGCCGAACUCCUACGGGAGGCAGCAGUGGGGAAUAUUGGACAAUGGGGGCAACCCUGAUCCAGCCAUGCCGCGUGUGUGAAGAAGGCUUUCGGGUUGUAAAGCACUUUCAGCGAGGAGGAAGGCCUUAAAGUUAAUACCUUUAAGGAUUGACGUUACUCGCAGAUGAAGCACCGGCUAACUCCGUGCCAGCAGACGCGGUAAUACGGAGGGUGCAAGCGUUAAUCGGAAUUACUGGGCGUAAAGCGCGCGUAGGUGGUUAGGUAAAGCGAGAUGUGAAAAGCCCGGGCUUAAACUGGGAACGGAAUUUCGAAACUGUCAGACUAAAGUGUGGUACACGGUAGUGGAA
rnacentral:rRNA from 1 species